UAUAAUGCAGUCGAGCGGACAGAUGGGAGCUUGCUCCCUGAAGUCAGCGGCGGACGGGUGAGUAACACGUGGGCAACCUGCCUGUAAGACUGGGAUAACUCCGGGAAACCGGGGCUAAUACCGGAUAAUUCUUUCCCUCACAUGAGGGAAAGCUGAAAGAUGGUUUCGGCUAUCACUUACAGAUGGGCCCGCGGCGCAUUAGCUAGUUGGUGAGGUAACGGCUCACCAAGGCAACGAUGCGUAGCCGACCUGAGAGGGUGAUCGGCCACACUGGGACUGAGACACGGCCCAGACUCCUACGGGAGGCAGCAGUAGGGAAUCUUCCGCAAUGGACGAAAGUCUGACGGAGCAACGCCGCGUGAGUGAUGAAGGUUUUCGGAUCGUAAAACUCUGUUGUUAGGGAAGAACAAGUACCGGAGUAACUGCCGGUGCCUUGACGGUACCUAACCAGAAAGCCACGGCUAACUACGUGCCAGCAGCCGCGGUAAUACGUAGGUGGCAAGCGUUGUCCGGAAUUAUUGGGCGUAAAGCGCGCGCAGGCGGUUCCUUAAGUCUGAUGUGAAAGCCCCCGGCUCAACCGGGGAGGGUCAUUGGAAACUGGGGAACUUGAGUGCAGAAGAGAAGAGUGGAAUUCCACGUGUAGCGGUGAAAUGCGUAGAGAUGUGGAGGAACACCAGUGGCGAAAGCGACUCUUUGGUCUGUAACUGACGCUGAGGCGCGAAAGCGUGGGGAGCAAACAGGAUUAGA
rnacentral:rRNA from 1 species